rnacentral:rRNA from 1 species
AGAGUUUGAUCCUGGCUCAGAACGAACGCUGGCGGCGUGGAUAAGACAUGCAAGUCGAGCGAGAUUUUUUCCUGUAGCAAUACAGGGAAAAGUCUAGCGGCGAACGGGUGCUUAACACGUGGGCAACCUGCCGAGAAGUGGGGGAUAGCUCGCCGAGAGGCGAAUUAAUACCGCAUGUGAUUAGAGAGGACAUCCUUUCGAAAUUAAAGUCGGGGCAACCUGACGCUUUUUGUGGGGCCCGCGGCCUAUCAGCUAGUUGGUGAGGUAACGGCUCACCAAGGCUUUGACGGGUAGCUGGUCUGAGAGGACGACCAGCCACACUGGGACUGAGACACGGCCCAGACACCUACGGGUGGCAGCAGUCGAGAAUUUUUCUCAAUGGGGGAAACCCUGAAGGAGCGACGCCGCGUGAAGGAUGAAGGUCUUCGGAUUGUAAACUUCUGUCAUUGGGGAACAAGGUGCAUACGUUAACUGCGUGUGCAUUGAUAGUACCCGAAGAGGAAGAGACGGCUAACUCUGUGCCAGCAGCCGCGGUAAUACAGAGGUCUCAAGCGUUGUUCGGAUUCAUUGGGCGUAAAGGGUGCGUAGGCGGCGCGGUAAGUCGGGUGUGAAAUCUUGGAGCUUAACUCCGAAACUGCAUUCGAUACUGCCGUGCUUGAGGACUGGAGAGGAGACUGGAAUUUACGGUGUAGCGGUGAAAUGCGUAGAUAUCGUAAGGAAGACCAGUGGCGAAGGCGGGUCUCUGGACAGUUCCUGACGCUGAGGCACGAAGGCCAGGGGAGCAAACGGGAUUAGAUACCCCCGUAGUCC